rnacentral:rRNA from 1 species
GAUGAACGCUAGCGGCAGGCCUAAUACAUGCAAGUCGAGGGGCAGCACGGGUAGCAAUAUCUGGUGGCGACCGGCGCACGGGUGCGUAACGCGUAUGCAAUCUACCUAUUACUGGAGAAUAGCCUUCCGAAAGGAAGAUUAAUGCUCCAUAACAUUACGCUGUGGCAUCACAAUGUAAUUAAAGUUCCGACGGUAAUAGAUGAGCAUGCGUGACAUUAGCUAGUUGGUGAGGUAAUGGCUCACCAAGGCUACGAUGUCUAGGGGCUCUGAGAGGAUUGUCCCCCACACUGGUACUGAGACACGGACCAGACUCCUACGGGAGGCAGCAGUAAGGAAUAUUGGUCAAUGGAGGCAACUCUGAACCAGCCAUGCCGCGUGAAGGAUG